rnacentral:rRNA from 1 species
CCUACGGGUGACAGCAGUGAGGAAUAUUGGUCAAUGGGCGAGAGCCUGAACCAGCCACGUCGCGUGAAGGAUGACGGCCCUACGGGUUGUAAACUUCUUUUGUCAGGGAGCAAUUGGGUCCACGCGUGGGCUUAGCGAGCGUACCUGAAGAACAAGCAUCGGCUAACUCCGUGCCAGCAGCCGCGGUAAUACGGAGGAUGCGAGCGUUAUCCGGUUUUAUUGGGUUUAAAGGGUGCGUAGGCGGAAUAUCAAGUCAGCGGGAAAAAUUCGGGGCUCAAACCCGUAGUGCCGUUGAAACUGAUGGUCUUGAGUGGACGAGAAGUAUGCGGAAUGCGUGGUGUAGCGGUGAAAGGCAUAGAUAUCACGCAGAACUCCGAUUGCGAAGGCAGCAUACCGGCGCCCAACUGACGCUGAAGCACGAAGGCGUGGGUAGCAAACAGGAUUAGAUACCCGGGUAGUC